rnacentral:misc_RNA from 1 species
GGAACAAACACGACCCA